CCCUCCCGAUUCAACUGCACGCACAGCCCUGAGGUCGCCUCGCCCAGAUCCCCUUCCACCGCCGCCUUGCACUACUCCCCGCCUCCAUCUCCCGUCGUCAUCGAGCAGCAUGCAACCUCACGGGUCAGCCCCCUUCCCCUACUCCUCCCCACCACAACGUCUUGUCCACCGAUCUACCGAGGUGCUAAUUCUUCACGACACUCAUGGCCAUGAUCUGCGGCGGUGCUUAUUCUCCACAGCACCGCGAGAGUGAUCCGCCAAGGCCAACGAGAGCGGGCACCGACGACCGUGAGAGAAAUUUGAUGGCCGAUCCCUUGGCACGUAGGUGUCGGUGAUGCCCAUCCCAGCAGGGAGGAUGAAUAUGCAUCAGGCAAUCACCAAACGACGGGAGAAUGCUUCCUUCACCUCGAGCGCCAUCACAACAAUUACAGGAGGUCUCGGCUAAUGGUGCAUCGUUGUCGCAGCGCCGCUCCAUCCAUCCAAUCCUUUAUAAUGACGCUAAUAACCAUGGCUAUAGACGGAAGCACGCCCACCAUAGGAACGAAGCACAACUACCAUCACAAAGAAGCAUGGCCAAUAUUGGUAGGAAGCACGACAACCAUGCACGGCCAGCAUUGGAAGGAUGCACGUCCGCCAUCAAACAGAAGCACGAUCACAAUCACAAUGAAGCACGACAAACAUUGAAACAAAGCAGGGUGACCAUCGGCCCAGUGGUGUUUGAACUGUGCCUAGAUGCUGCGUUUUGUUUUAUGAAAGCAAUUUCUGAUUUAUUUUUUUUGGAUGCGUAUUCUUGUUUCUUUGUAAGCAAUAGUUCUGUUUUGUCUCAAACCAAUGCUCCGUCUUAAUGGUCCUUGGAAGCAAUUUAACGAUGCUUCCACUGUACAUAGAUUUUGCUCUACGUGAUAAAGUU